rnacentral:rRNA from 1 species
CUUUAUUGGGGUUGCGGACAUAUCAUAACGAAGAGGUAUCGUAAUUGAAGAGGUUUGGAAAGACCCACCACAGAAGGUAAUAGUCCUGUAUGUUAAACGAGAAGACUUUAGAUAUGAUCCAGAGUACCACGGGACACGUGAAACCCUGUGGGAAGCAGGAGGGACCACCCUCCAAGGCUAAAUACUACCUAGUGACCGAUAGCGUAUAGUACCGUGAGGGAAAGG